rnacentral:rRNA from 1 species
UACAGAGGGUGCGAGCUUUAAUCGGAAUUACUGGGCGUAAAGCGCACGUAGGUGGCGACGUAAGUCGGGUGUGAAAGCCCCGGGCUCAACCUGGGAAUUGCAUUCGAGACUGCAUUGCUGGAGUACGGAAGAGGAGGGCGGAAUUCCCGGUGUAGCGGUGAAGUGCGUAGAGAUCGGGAGGAACAUCAGUGGCGAAGGCGGCCCUCUGGUCCAGUACUGACAAUCAAGUGCGAAAGCGUGGGGAGCAAACAGG